ensembl:lncRNA
CUUGAAGGUCAGGGUCCAGCUGCCGUAAAAGGCUAGAGGACAAACAAAAUGCUGGACAGGCCCAAAUAAAGACAACUAUAGACACAUAGACACACAUAUUGCAGAGGUUUCCUGCUUCAAGUAGCUAUUAUACUAACCUACACUUUAAGCAAAGAGCAUUUUAGGUUUCAGACUGGUGAAAACCUAGGAUGAGCAGGAGCACCAGUAAAAGUUGCAUCUUUAACGAAACUGAUGAAACAGGCCAGCAAAGGGGAAUGCACCUUCUGAAGGCAUAAUCUGUAAGCUCCUUAGCCAGUGUAUCUUCUGACAAGCUUUGCCCUGCUAGUCCUCACAAAGCAGCCCGCGCACCCUCGGUUCGCACUCCUCUCAGCUGAGAUGACAGAAGCAGGGCAUUCUGAGUGCCACUUCUCGUGCUCAAACUAUAUGGAUUAUCUUCCAACUCUGAACAUGCUGCAGGAACAAAAGAUAUGCACUGGAACUCCAAUACUCACUUUAGGAAGAAUAUAAAUGAUUUGGAUUCAUUUCCCAGUAUGAAGGGCUCUGCAAGAAGCUGAAGAAGCCAGAAAGAAUUAGAAAGCACAACCACAAACAGUAUUAACAGAAAUAUUGUAUAAUAAGCAGGGCAAAUCAUCCCUUCAUUCAGAUGGCAAUUACAUCACUGGUAACGCAACGCUUUCCUGCUUUCAGCAGCGCUACAAAGAUAACCUCCCUGCGAUGAAUAUAUUUUGAGCAAUUUUUCCCGUGUGCUGGCCUGAACCAGUCUUUUCUUUGAUGCUAGACAUAAAUGUCCUACUGUAACUCUUGUCUUGCUCUUGCAUAAAUAAACCAUCUACCGGCACUGGAAAGAGGAACUUGCUAUUGUGUUUCUGUUGUGAUGACAGUGUCAAAAAAAAAACACGCGAGGUGUUUUCCAAGGGGCCAUCUUUA